AUUGAACGCUGGCGGCAGGCUUAACACAUGCAAGUCGAGCGGAGAGAGGUAGCUUGCUACUGAUCUUAGCGGCGGACGGGUGAGUAAUGCUUAGGAAUCUGCCUAUUAGUGGGGGACAACAUUUCGAAAGGAAUGCUAAUACCGCAUACGUCCUACGGGAGAAAGCUGGGGAUCUUCGGACCUUGCGCUAAUAGAUGAGCCUAAGUCGGAUUAGCUAGUUGGUGGGGUAAAGGCCUACCAAGGCGACGAUCUGUAGCGGGUCUGAGAGGAUGAUCCGCCACACUGGGACUGAGACACGGCCCAGACUCCUACGGGAGGCAGCAGUGGGGAAUAUUGGACAAUGGGCGCAAGCCUGAUCCAGCCAUGCCGCGUGUGUGAAGAAGGCUUUAUGGUUGUAAAGCACUUUAAGCGAGGAGGAGGCUACUUUAGUUAAUACCUAGAGAUAGUGGACGUUACUCGCAGAAUAAGCACCGGCUAACUCUGUGCCAGCAGCCGCCGUAAAAC
rnacentral:rRNA from 1 species